rnacentral:tRNA from 1 species
UCCCAGGUGGCUCAGUGGUAAAGAAUCUGCCUGCCAAGCAGGAGACCUGGGUUCGAUCCCUGCACUGGGAA